rnacentral:lncRNA from 1 species
UCCUGCAUCCUUCCUCUGGACUGGGACUACACUGUUCACCAACUCCUGCAAUUAUACUGCAGCCUGGCUUCACUGAAAUGAGAGAUAAUUAAAACCUUCCCUGGUUCUGCUUUCUCCACUCAGAAUAGAAAGUGCCUCUCUCUCCAUUACAAAAACCAUUCCCAGCCCAGAACAAAGGCCAGAAGUUUCUGGACACAGCCACCAGCCAGUAACCACAAACUGCUCUGUGGGACUCUCAUGGAAACAACAGCCCUACUGGAUGACAAUUAUCCAUUGUUACAUACAGCAAGAGAUUUUAAACCAAGUUUAUGAAUUACUGCCCAGUGUUUAUCCAGCUCUUCAUGCACUACUGCCAAAUGCUUUAUAAAAAUCCCUUAUCUAUCUCUGAGGUGCCAAAAUUCCUUUUUUUCACCUUGAAGAUAUAAAAUUUGAUCUUUUCACCACUCUACUGAUGGAGAAUUGAGACACACAUUUGAGGAGGAAACAAUAUAACAGUCAGAUUUUAAAGGUCUUUAAGUCUGAAGAAACUAUGAAACAGACCAUGUUUAAUUAUUGCAUUUGGAGAGAAGAACAGGGCAGAGUCCUUCUAUCUAGUGCACAGAGGGAGCUUGGAGAUGCUUAGGGCUGUAGGUUAAAGUGGCUAGAGGAACAGCAUCCCCAUGCAUCAGGACCUUAAAGAGAGGCAGAAACUUCCCUAAUCGUAAGUUACAGAAUCCAGUAUUGCUCAUUUGUCUUUGAAAAACCCAACACUAGACAAUGAACAAGUUUGAGUUGUUUAGAGAGAGAAAGCAAACUGAGAAGAUGUGAUAAAGUCUUUGAAUAAUACCAACAUAAGUGGAAUGCAGCAUAAAAUGAUGUAAUUCGUGUAUCAGAGUAUCAUGGGUGUUUAUUCAUAAAAUGACAAGUGAAUCACUGAAUGUAAGUACAACACGUAUGUUCAGUAAUGCAUUACUUAAAAUGAAAAAAAGCACCAGCUUUUUUUUUUUCCUUAGUACAGGAACUCUGUACUAAUGGUGGGUAAGGAGAUGAGGAGUGCUUCCCACCAAGGAGAUGAAAGCCAGAGUGGGGGUCAGUAUCACUUGAUUUGAAGUAGAAAAGCACCUUCAUGCAAGAAGACUUCAUUAAAGGCAUUUUUCAGACAGCUUAGGUAUUUUUAAAGAAAGACAUGACUAUAUCUCUGCCUAAGAUCAAGCUUUUGUCCUUCAACACAGAAUUGACAAUAUAACUUCAUGAAGUUGUAAUCUAUUAGAAAGGAGAUUUUAAAAGACCACAGUACUGCAAGGAAUUUAGCACUGGAAUGGGCUGCCCAGGGAGGUGGUGGAGUCACCGACCCUGGAGGUGUUCAAAGAACGAUUGGAUUUUGUGUUGAGGGAUAUAGUUUAGCAAGAACCAUGGGUGAUAGGUGGAUGGUUGGACUGGAUGAUCUUAUAGGUCUUUUCCAACCUUAGUGAUUCUGUGAUUCUGUGAUUCUGUGAAUAAAAUAGGCAAGCAAAUCUCA